rnacentral:lncRNA from 1 species
ACUUUAGGGUAUUUGAGCCAUGAGAGGGGUAAAAUGGUCUUUUACCCUCCUUAGAGUGCUAAGAGAUGGAAUGGUCUAGCCUUGGGAAAUGUGUUGAUGCUGAGUGUUUAUUUCAUAUGAUUAGGCGGAGGCUAGAUCCUAUUUCACAGAGUCUGAGAUUUCUGAGUUACCGAGUUACGCGAGGUGAGUCUUCUCACUAUAUGUUACCUAGAGUGGUAUUAUGUGUUGACCGGAGGGUCUUAUGUGUUAUGUAUGAGAUUGUGCGUUAUGAAUGAGAUUAUGUGCUAUGUGAUAUAUAUGUGUGUUAUAUGAUUGUAUAGACCGGACCGGAGGGUCCAACGAUAUAGACCGGACCGGAGGGUCCAACGAUACAGACCGGACCGGAGGGUCCAACGAUUCAGACCGGAACAGAGGGCCCAACGAGUUAUGACCGGACCAGAGGAUCCAACGAGCUACGGGACUAGCGGGUCCCGAUGAGACACAUCGACCGGAGGGUCGUACUAUAGCCUCGAGUGGAGUAUGUGUUGUAUGGGGUAUUUUGGGUAACUCACUAAGCAUUUAUGCUUACAGUUGUUGUGUUAUGUGUUUCAGGUACUAGCAAGGACCGUGGGAAGGCACCGGCGUGACCCGUACACACAGAGAUGAGAUUUGAUUUGUGAUCUUGGGAAUAUGUUUUAUUUGAAACUAUUGUGGAACUCUUGUUUUGAGAGUGUUUUAAAUAUAAAUUUGGUGGUUGAAAAAUGAAAAUUUUGUUUUGAAGAUUACGUCGUUACAAGUUGGUAUCAGAGCAUUGGUUUGAGGGACUCGAAUGCACCUUCGGGCGUAUCUGAACUCAAACUGAGGAUUUGAGAAAUUUUCAACAAUAAAACUAAUUUUUCUAAAAAGAGCAAGAGGUUUUGAGACAACCAGAGCGGAGCUGUAUGUACGGUCGUGGAUAUUGAGUCAUCCAAUCUUGGUCGUGGAUAUUGAGUCAUGCAUAAGUUAUGGUCUUAAUAUGGAAAGAGGAAAGGUGUUUUGAGUGAGAGGUGACCCUUACAGCCAUGCAAAGGCUUAAAGGUUUCAACUUUAUGGAGUAGGAAACCAUAGAGAAGUCAGAUCUAGAAUAUGAGUUCUUGUCUUAACCGUUUAAGACCAAAAUCCACAAAAUGGCUGAACUGGGAUUUAUGCUAGGCGUAAUCCCAGUACGCGCAGAUUAGGGGGUCGCGCACCCCGAUUCUGUGAAGGCACCGAGUACGCCUAGCCUACAUGUUUGGUACGCACAGCGUAACCCGGAGGGUUGACUUUUGUUGACUUUUAGGGUUUGGUCAACUUUAGUGUCUUUGAGCCAUGAGAGGGGUAAAAUGGUCUUUUACCCUUUUGAGAGUACUAAGAGAGGGAAUAGUCUAGCCUUGAGAGAUGUAUUGAUUUAGAGUGUUUAUUUCAUAUGAUUAGNUCCUAUUUCACAGAGUCUGAGAUUUCUGAGUUACCGAGUUACGCGAGGUGAGUCUUCUCACUAUAUGUUACCUAGAGUGGUAUUAUGUGUUGACCGGAGGGUCUUAUGUGUUAUGUAUGAGAUUGUGCGUUAUGAAUGAGAUUAUGUGCUAUGUGAUAUAUAUGUGUGUUAUAUGAUUGUAUAGACCGGACCGGAGGGUCCAACGAUAUAGACCGGACCGGAGGGUCCAACGAUACAGACCGGACCGGAGG